rnacentral:lncRNA from 1 species
CCGCAGAAUAAACAUGUGGAGAAGGUCAUUGAUCACCUUGACUGAAGCACUGCAGACAAGAUAAAGACAGCCUGAUGCAGAGGAAGAUUGAGGACUAAGGGGCUUCAUCCACAGAUGGCAUUUUCCAGACAGGGUGGCUCUCUCUGUUAGCGGGCAGGACCUUCUGUUACUUGGAUCAUUCUAUAACAACAUUUAGAAGCAGUGGAAUAAAAUUGCAAAAUGAAACCAAGUCCAUUUAUUCAGCGGAAUCGAAUUGCAAGAUGAAACCACGUCUGGGAAGCAUAUUUUUUUACAGAAGAAUCUGCAGUUUAGUUUUGUUUAUUGCAACACAGGUGCAAAGGGUCAACCUCACCUCAUUUAUCUUUCAGGGCAUGUUAUUAUUAUUGGUCUGUGAAAGAAUCC